UACAGAGGGUGCGAGCGUUAAUCGGAAUUACUGGGCGUAAAGGGUGCGCAGGUGGGUUUGCAAGUUCGAUGUGAAAGCCCCGGGCUUAACCCGGGAAUGGCAUUGGAUACUGCAGAUCUGGAGGAUCGGAGGGGGGACUGGAAUUCUUGGUGUAGCAGUGAAAUGCGUAGAUAUCAAGAGGAACACCAGUGGCGAAGGCGAGUCCCUGGACGAUACCUGACACUGAGGCACGAAAGCUAGGGGAGCAAACAGG
rnacentral:rRNA from 1 species